GACCAAGAAGUCUAACAUGUGUGCGAGUCAUUGGGUAUAUUGUUGAAACCUAAGGGCGUAAUUAAAAUAACUAUUUUAUGGGAUUACAAGUGAAUUAAUUUUCAUUUCUCCAUCCCGGGGCGUUCUAUGUGAACAUGAAUCAAGCAAUUGGUCCCUCUGUUCGAGAGCGUACCUUGAGCAUACAUGCUGUGACCCGAAAGAUGGUGAACUAUACCUGAUCAGAUCGAAGCCAGGAGAAAUUCUGGUGGAGGAUCGAAACAGUUCUGACGUGCAAAUCGAUUGUCAGAAUUGGGUAUAGGGGCGAAAGACCAAUCGAACCAUCUAGUAGCUGGUUCCCUCCGAAGUUUCCCUCAGGAUAGCUGGCGCAAAGAAUUAUAUUAUAUAUAAUCUUAUCUGGUAAAGCGAAUGAUUAGAGGCCUUGGGGCCGAAACGACCUCAACCUAUUCUCAAACUUUAAAUGGGUAAGAACCUCAUCUUUCUUGAUCUGAAGAUAUUGGGGUUUAGAUAUAUUGUGCCCAGUGGGCCACUUUUGGUAAGCAGAACUGGCGCUGUGGGAUGAACCAAACAUGAUGUUACGGCGCCUAAAUUAAUGACUCAUAUUGAUACCAUGAAAGGCGUUGGUUGCUUAAAACAGCAGGACGGUGGACAUGGAAGUCGUAAUCCGCUAAGGAGUGUGUAACAACUCACCUGCCGAAGCAACUAGCCCUUAAAAUGGAUGGCGCUCAAGUCAUAUGCCUAUACAUCAUCGCUAGAAUAAAAAUUGUUGACUAUUUUAUGGUGAUCAUUGUGAAAUUCUAGUGAGUAGGAGGGUACAAUGGUGUGCGCAGAAGUGUUUGGCGUGAGCCUGCAUGAAGCCGCCAUUGGCACAGAUCUUGGUGGUAGUAGCAAAUAAUCGAAUGAGAUCUUGGAGGACUGAAGUGGAGAAGGGUUUCGUGUGAACAGUGGUUGAUCACGAGUUAGUCGGUCCUAAGCUUUAUGCGAAAGCUGUUUAAUUUAUGUUACACAUUUAAUUUUGUUGUACAUAAUUCAAUAAAAGCGAAAGGGAAUACGGUUCCAAUUCCGUAACCUGUUGAGUAUACGUUUGUUUAUUAAAAAUGGGUCUUAUUACACUCAUCCUGGCAACAGGAACGACCAUAGAGAAGCCUUCGAGAGAUACUGGAAGAGUUUUCUUUUCUGCUAAACAAAUGUAUCACCAUGGAAGUCUUUUAUAGAGAGAUAUGGUGAAUGGCUUGGAAGAGCAUGACAUUUACUGUUGUGUCAGUAUUUUCUCCUUGGACCUUGAAAAUCUAUGGUGGGGCCACGCAAACUUCUCAACAGACCGUACCGAUAUCCGCAG
rnacentral:rRNA from 1 species